GGAAGUAAAAGUCGUAACGAGGUUUCCGUAGGUGAACCUGCGGAAGGAUCAUUCAUAAUAAGUGUUUUAUGGCACUUUUUUAAAUCCAUAUCCACCUUGUGUGCAAUGUCAGGGUUGAUUUUUCUCUCGAGAGGAUCAACCCCAAACAUCAACUAUAUCUCAACUCUUUGUCUGAAAAAUAUUAUGAAUAAAACAAUUCAAAAUACAACUUUCAACAACGGAUCUCUUGGCUCUC
rnacentral:misc_RNA from 1 species